rnacentral:rRNA from 1 species
UACAGAGGGGGCGAGCGUUGUUCGGAAUUACUGGGCGUAAAGGGCGCGUAGGCGGCCUGCUAAGUCGAACGUGAAAUCCCCGGGCUCAACCCGGGAACUGCGUCCGAUACUGGUGGGCUUGAAUCCGGGAGAGGGAUGUGGAAUUCCAGGUGUAGCGGUGAAAUGCGUAGAUAUCUGGAGGAACACCGGUGGCGAAGGCGGCAUCCUGGACCGGUAUUGACGCUGAGGCGCGAAAGCGUGGGGAGCGAACAGG